AUAUCACGUUCUAACAUCGGUACUCGUACGAUCGCCGAAGUUAAGCACCGUUGAGCCUGGUCAGUAACUAGAUGGGUGACUGAUUGAGAAUGCCAGCUGUUGUAC